UGCUUCGUGCUCACUGAAAUGAUUAGAUUAUAAACUGAGCCUCAGAGCUGACUUCUAAGAUUGGACCCGGGAGAUUUGAGAGCUGAGAACAGCAUUGUCCAUUGGAUGCCAGGCUUUCAGAUCCCAGGGAGGCCAUGUGGGGCCAUGAGAGCUGGAGGAGGGCCUGAGGCCAUGACUUGGAGGUUCAGCAUUUUCCCUAUUGCCCCUGAUGUGCCCGUCCUUCUCGGCCUCCUGCCCCCAUCCUUCCUUCCCACAUGACCAUAGCCAACCCC
rnacentral:lncRNA from 1 species